GAUGAAGAACGUAGCGAAAUGCGAUAAGUAAUGUGAAUUGCAGAAUUCAGUGAAUCAUCGAAUCUUUGAACGCACCUUGCGCUCCUUGGUAUUCCGAGGAGCAUGCCUGUUUGAGUGUCAUUAAUUUCUCAACUUCAUUAGCUUUUGCUAUUGAAGCUUGGAUGUGGAGGUUGUGCAGGUCUACGCUUCGGUGUGGUCUGCUCCUCUGAAAUGUAUUAGUGGGUUAGGCUCCUAAUCUAUUGGUGUGAUAAUUAUCUACGCCGUGGACUAGAACGCUUGUAUAGACCCGCUUCUAACCGUCCGCAAGGACAACUCUUGACAAUUUUGACCUCAAAUCAGGUAAGACUACCCGCUGAACUUAAGCAUAUCAAUAAGCGGAGGA
rnacentral:misc_RNA from 1 species